GAUGAACGCUGGCGGCGUGCCUAAUACAUGCAAGUCGAGCGAACAGACGAGGAGCUUGCUCCUCUGACGUUAGCGGCGGACGGGUGAGUAACACGUGGAUAACCUACCUAUAAGACUGGGAUAACUUCGGGAAACCGGAGCUAAUACCGGAUAAUAUAUUGAACCGCAUGGUUCAAUAGUGAAAGACGGUUUUGCUGUCACUUAUAGAUGGAUCCGCGCCGCAUUAGCUAGUUGGUAAGGUAACGGCUUACCAAGGCAACGAUGCGUAGCCGACCUGAGAGGGUGAUCGGCCACAUUGGGACUGAGAUACGGCCCAGACUCCUACGGGAGGCAGCAGUGGGGAAUAUUGCACAAUGGGCGGAAGCCUGAUGCAGCAACGCCGCGUGCGGGAUGACGGCCUUCGGGUUGUAAACCGCUUUCGCCUGUGACGAAGCGUGGGUGACGGUAAUGGGUAAAGAAGCACCGGCUAACUACGUG
rnacentral:rRNA from 1 species